GUGGGGGCAACUCUGCUGGAGAAGUGGCGAAAGGGGCAGUAAUACAUGGGUAACCUACCUUCAGGUCGUGGAUAGCCUUUCUAACGAUUGGGUAAUACACGCGUUGUGAUUUGGCGGCAUCACCGAAUCACCAAAGAAUUUCGCCUGGAGAGGGGCCCAUGUCGUAUCAGCUAGUUGGUGAGGUAACGGCUCACCAAGGCAAAGACGCGUAGCGGGUGUGAGAGCACGACCCGCGCCACUGGCACUGAGACACUGGCCAGACUCCUACGGGAGGCUGCAGUCGAGGAUCUUUGGCAAUGGACGCAAGUCUGACCAAGCGACGCCGCGUGUGCGAUGAAGGCCUUCGGGUUGUAAAGCACUGUCGAGGGGGAGGAAGCCGCAAGGUUGACCUAUCCCUGGAGGAAGCACGGGCUAAGUUCGUGCCAGCAGCCGCGGUAAGACGAACCGUGCGAACGUUAUUCGGAAUCACUGGGCUUAAAGGGCGCGUAGGCGGGUUCACAAGUCUGUGGUGAAAUCCUUCAGCUUAACUGGAGAAGUGCCAUGGAUACUGUGAGUCUCGAGGAGGGUAGGGGCAUCUGGAACUGCCGGUGGAGCGGUGAAAUGCGUUGAUAUCGGCAGGAACUCCGGUGGCGAAGGCGAGAUGCUGGAUCCUUUCUGACGCUGAGGCGCGAAAGCCAGGGGAGCAAACGGGAUUAGAUACCCUGGUAGUCC
rnacentral:rRNA from 1 species